rnacentral:lncRNA from 12 species
AUGUUUGUUGUGGGUUUUGUACGAUCUGUUGGAAAGAACUCUGGAGGAGCCACUGGGAUGUGUCAGUCCUGGGCUGGGAUGUGGCAAUCUCAGGGCUCUGGCCCAGGAAGGGCUUGGGGAAAGGUGUCAUUUGGGAAAUACCCACUAAAUCUCUGGAAUGCGGCUAGAAAGAAGGCAGGGCCGGAGAGUCCCUUGGAUUCUUUGACAUCUAAAACCACUAGAAUUGAUGAAAUGACCCAAGGAGCCAGAACCAGAAAAGAAAGGGGCCUGGUUGGGGCCCGGGGACCCCAGUCCUAUCCGCACUUGGGACACCGGGGCGUCAGCAGGAGACUGGGAAGCAGAGCCAAUCUGCGGGGACUUCCAGGGCCUCCAGGGCUGAUGGCCACCACACAAGGGCCAAGGGCCCUGGGCACGACUCAGAACCUGGGAUUUCAUUUCCUGGGCCUGCGUGUGAACCCUCUGCCUCCAAGGUCAGCAUGGGCCACCCCCACCCACCGCCAGCAGGUGAGCCAGCAGGUGAGCCAGCAGACCCCAGACGGUGCCGCAGUGUGGUGCCGCAGUGCUCAGAGCAACCUCUGAGCACAACCAGGAACGCCCACCACUGUGUCCAUCGUCCAAGGCUCACACCCGUCACACAACCCAGGACAUGGUAGGAGGUGACUCUGGGAAAUAAUCCAAAGGUGACGCUGUGCACCUGCCCUCCCUCUGCCCCUUGGCCCCCACAGGCACUUCUUUUUUCACAAAAGCACAGCUUUAUUGAGAUAUAAUUCACAUAUCACAAACUUCACUCUUCUAAAGUGUACAGUUCUACGGCUUUGAGUGUAUCCAGAGUCGGGCAGCCACCACCACUCCUUAAUUUUGGAACAUCAUCAGCUCUGAGAAAGGAAACUGCACGCCCGAGAGUGGCCACUCCCCCCUGGGCCCCAGCCCUGGCAGCCACGACUCUGCUUUCUGUGUCCUGCGUGCCUUUUCCAUCCAACUUCCAGAUAAAGACAAAUAAAGCCAAUCUCCCACCUGCUGAGACA